rnacentral:lncRNA from 1 species
CUUUCAAAAUCUUUUCUCUUUUCAAAGACAUAAAAGGAGGAAGUUAUUGAUUUGGCAGAUAAGAACCAUCAAUAAUGAGCUUUCAUGGAGGUCUUUUCCUUGCUUUUCUGAAAGAAAGACCAACUCUCUUUAUUCUCUGUUUGUUCCUUGUAAAGAGAAAGAACACAAUUUGUCAUGAUGAUCAGUUUGCUUUUCCUGUUGAACAACUCCCUUGCUCCUUACUUAUCUCUUGAGAACAUAGUCUGC